UAAAGUUUCUGGUUUCAAUUCUAGUUUACUAGCAAGUGCAUAAGAAAUAAAAGAGUGAGUUGCACCAGUAUCGAUUAAAGCCUUGACAAGAGUAUUAUGAAUAAAAAGCAUACCCUGGAUGAGAACAGGAGCAGGAAGGACUUUAGUUUCAUCUAAAUUGUACAUUUGACCUUGUGCUAUGGGUCGGGCUAUAUCUUUUGGUCACUAAGGGUAAUAUUUUGUAAGGUGCUGGGUGCUUCUACACCAAUAGCAGGCAUGAUUAAUACGCAGACAAGGCAAGUCACCAUGCAGGCGACCACAAUGUUGACAAGAUGGGUUAGUUUAGGCAGAUGGGGUUGUAGGUGGGAGCAAGGCAGGAGGAAGGACAAUUUUGGUUCGUUUGUCUAGGGGGUUACUUACUGGGUCAGGCAAUCUCUUUUUAAGCUGUUGGGGCAGUUGUUGGGCUCGAACUCAAGCAAAGCAUUGGUGCUCAGCUGAGAUAAGAUCUUCGGCCAACUGGGCAUGUUCAAGAACUUUUGCAUACAAGCUGGGUCUUAGCAUCGCGACUUGAUCAUAAAUGUCAGCACGAAGGCCUUUAAGAAACUUUCUAGGCUUUCAACUUUCGAGGUUGACCAUCAAAGGGGCAAACCAAGACAGUUGAAUAAAUCAAGCUGCAUAUUGGGCUACAAACAAGCUUCCUUUGUGGAGGUCCUAGAAUUCCUCCUCUUUCUUUUUCCAAACAUAAGCAGAGAAUAAAUUAUCAAAGAAAGUGUCCAUGAAAACUUCCCAGGUAGUGGGAAUAGGUAGGACUUCUUUCUUAAGUCGCCACCAGUUGUCAG
rnacentral:lncRNA from 1 species